rnacentral:rRNA from 1 species
ACUCCUACGGGAGGCAGCAGUGGGGAAUAUUGCACAAUGGGCGCAAGCCUGAUGCAGCAACGCCGCGUGAGGGACGACGGCCUUCGGGUUGUAAACCUCUUUUAGUAGGGAAGAAGCGAAAGUGACGGUACCUGCAGAAAAAGCACCGGCUAACUACGUGCCAGCAGCCGCGGUAAUACGUAGGGUGCAAGCGUUAUCCGGAAUUAUUGGGCGUAAAGAGCUCGUAGGCGGUUUGUCGCGUCUGCUGUGAAAACUGGAGGCUCAACCUCCAGCCUGCAGUGGGUACGGGCAGACUAGAGUGCGGUAGGGGAGAUUGGAAUUCCUGGUGUAGCGGUGGAAUGCGCAGAUAUCAGGAGGAACACCGAUGGCGAAGGCAGAUCUCUGGGCCGUAACUGACGCUGAGGAGCGAAAGCAUGGGGAGCGAACAGGAUUAGAUACCCUGGUAGUCCAUGCCGUAAACGUUGGGAACUAGAUGUAGGGACCAUUCCACGGUUUCUGUGUCGCAGCUAACGCAUUAAGUUCCCCGCCUGGGGAGUACGGCCGCAAGGCUAAAACUCAAAGGAAUUGACGGGGGCCCGCACAAGCGGCGGAGCAUGUGGAUUAAUUCGAUGCAACGCGAAGAACCUUACCAAGGCUUGACAUAUACCGGAAAAGUUCAGAAAUGUUCUCCCCGCAAGGUCGGUAUACAGGUGGUGCAUGGUUGUCGUCAGCUCGUGUCGUGAGAUGUUGGGUUAAGUCCCGCAACGAGCGCAACCCUCGUUCUAUGUUGCCAGCACGUAAUGGUGGGAACUCAUAGGAGACUGCCGGGGUCAACUCGGA